CAUCGCGUAGUGUGGAUUUGGAG
rnacentral:siRNA from 1 species